GAAGAAUGAUAUUGUAGGUCAAGAUGGCGCGCCAUGAUCUAGAGUGAGUCAUGGCGUCCCUAGAGUCUACAAAACAGCAGUAUGCAUGGCCACUUUUAAUAAUGGAUUUAACUGCUUCUAAAACAGAGCGAGAACUGCAUGGACUUUAAACAACACGUUCUAUUCUUGAAUUAACCAAAGGAACAUUGUAUUGCAUUUAUAUACGUUGUUUUGAGGUUUAAAAAACAAAUACAUGUUGGUAAAGAAGACGACCUAAUGAGUCUUUCAGGUAAUCCAUAUUCAUCCGCUCUGAGUUCCUGCCUCACGCGCAGUGAAGGGAGCGGAACCCGGAUGGAACUGUCAUGGCUGCCGUCACCGACCUGCCAGUCUGAAGAGAAAAAAGAGAAAUUCUGUGUAUUAUGACCUAUUUUACUUUUAUGGAGAUUUCUACACACACAAACUCAUCUUUCAGAGGGGCAAACUAGAAUUAAACUGCUGUAGUCAUGAUCCCGUUACACCAGCCAUAUAAAAAUGAUCACAUGAAAUCAAGACAAACUGCACUACAGAUGACAGCUAUGUUAUAACUGUGAUGAUCUAAAAUAGAUCAACAGCUCUUUUUGUGACUUUUUACUCAAAAGAAAAUGUUGAUCACAACAAAUGGGAUUAAAUGACUUAAUUGCAAAUUGUACUUGUUGUAGAAUUGUUUGAAGGACAACAUAAUUGUUAAAUCUUAAAAAAAAAAUGAUAUUUGAUUUGAUAGAUAUUUAUUUAUACAUUAUUACAUUUCAAUUUACACAUCAAUUUUUAUUACAUAUUCAUAACAGGCUACCAGUGUAAAGACCGAGUUAAACACUAGGCAUUUUUCUACAAUAAACAGUAUUAAACUGUAUUAGAGCAGCUCAGUACAUUUGUCACAUGACAUCAUUGAAUUACAUCAAUUUAUUACAUCAAUUUAUCAUUUACAUUGCAUUGAAUUAUAUUUUUUUUUAUUUUUUUAAAUAAAAAUGUCUUCAGUUCAAUCAUGAGUCAAAUAUGUUAAAAAUCUGCGGUUUUAAUUUCUUCUGCCAGGUCAUUCUUCACACUGGAAAUGGGUAAGGUUUUUUUUUUUUUGAAGUCAUUUUUGUAAAAGUAGUGGGUCAUCCAUGUAUUUUAUGUAUACAGAAAAUGUGCAUAUGCAAAGUAUACAUGCUAUAGAUUGCAGUAAGUAUAGUAUGCUGUUCUGAACAUCUCUUAAACGCAUAUACAUGUUGUGAUGGUUAGGCCCUCAUAGAAAUCUGCAGAAUGCUCUGAAGAUUUUCACAGAAUUUAAACAAACAAUUCACAAAAUUCGAUACAUCCCCUGCCCCUUAUCAAAUAUUGUUUGAAAUAUUAUACUUUGUUGUGUAGAAUAUUCAAGAAAUGUAAUGUUUAAAUCCAGUGGCGGCUCCUGCUAAUUCUCUCAGGGGGGACAAAUGUUUGUAUGAUUAAUGAGGAUAGGUCACCCAUUCACUUGAUAAAUUAACGGCUAGUUACGAGAUGCAAAGGAAACUGAACUAUUAUAGUAUUAAUUAAAAAUAAACUGACUCCAACAAUCAAUCUCUUGCUCUCCUUAUGUUUCAGUAUGCGUAUUAACACAAUUCGGCAGCAAAUGAAGACUGAAGCCAGGAUGUGGUUUUCAAAAAAACAUUUUACUUCAAAAUCAGUUUAAUAAAAAUUUAAAUGAAGUCUACA
rnacentral:lncRNA from 1 species